GGGCCUUUAGCUCAGUUGGUAGAGCGCACGCUUCGCAUCGUCAGGACUGCGUGAGGUCGAGGGCUCGAUUCCCUCAAUGUCCA